GCGUUGGUGGUUUAGUGGUAAAAUUCAUCGUUGCCAUGUGAUUGAAUACCUUACUGGAAAUUCAACAGCUACGACUCGAUGAGCCCCGGGUUCGAUUCCCGGCCGACGCA
rnacentral:tRNA from 1 species